AGGACGAACGCUGGCGGCGUGCUUAACACAUGCAAGUCGAGCGGAAAGGCCCUUCGGGGUACUCGAGCGGCGAACGGGUGAGUAACACGUGAGCAAUCUGCCCUUAACUUCGGGAUAGCCCCGGGAAACCGGGAUUAAUACCGAAUACGACCUCGGCCGACAUCGGCCUUGGUGGAAAGUUUUUCGGCUAGGGAUGAACUCGCGGCCUAUCAGCUUGUUGGUGGGGUAAUAGCCUACCAAGGCGACGACGGGUAGCCGGCCUGAGAGGGCGACCGGCCACACUGGGACUGAGACACGGCCCAGACUCCUACGGGAGGCAGCAGUGGGGAAUAUUGCGCAAUGGGCGAAAGCCUGACGCAGCGACGCCGCGUGGGGGAUGAAGGCCUUCGGGUUGUAAACCCCUUUCAGCAGGGACGAAGCGAGAGUGACGGUACCUGCAGAGAAGCGCCGGCUAACUACGUGCCAGCAGCCGC
rnacentral:rRNA from 1 species